rnacentral:lncRNA from 1 species
AAACUUUACGCUGCAUAAGAACGCAUAGUCAGCUGAACAGAUCAAUUCGUUGAAUAGAAUGAAUUUUCUGGAAAUUAGAGUUGGCAAUAGUACAAGUAGCACUCUAGCAGAAAGGUGUAAGUUCAACAGUCAGACUCAUUUUCCUAAGAUUCAAAGUGACAUCUCAUUGCAUUAUUUUUAAAAGCACUCAUUUCCUUAGUUAAUUUGAUAUUUUUCUUAACUUGUAUGAAG